rnacentral:tRNA from 1 species
GCCCCUAUAGUUUAGCCUGGACAUCUGCGGAAAUCAGAGAUUUCCGAGGUCUCGGAUAGAAUGCGAGCUUGCGGAGCUCGUGACGUGGGUUCGAAUCCCGCUGGGGGCA